GACGAACGCUGGCGGCGUGCCUAACACAUGCAAGUCGAACGAGAAUCAUUUGAACAGAGGCUUCGGCCGACGGAAUUUUGAGGAAAGUGGCGAACGGGUGAGUAACGCGUGAGAAACCUGCCUUUCAGUGGGGGACAACAGUUGGAAACGACUGCUAAUACCGCAUGAUGCAGCUAGGGGGCAUCCCCUUACUGCCAAAGCUUUAUGUGCUGAAAGAUGGUCUCGCGUCUGAUUAGCUAGUUGGUGGGGUAACGGCUCACCAAGGCGACGAUCAGUAGCCGGUCUGAGAGGAUGAACGGCCACAUUGGGACUGAGAUACGGCCCAGACUCCUACGGGAGGCAGCAGUGGGGAAUAUUGGACAAUGGGCGAAAGCCUGAUCCAGCGACGCCGCGUGAAGGAAGACGGUCUUCGGAUUGUAAACUUUAGUGAGCAGGGACGAUAGUGACGGUACCUGCAUAGCAAGCCACGGCUAACUACGUGCCAG
rnacentral:rRNA from 1 species